rnacentral:rRNA from 1 species
GACGAACGCUGGCGGCGUGCUUAACACAUGCAAGUCGAACGGUAAGGCCCUUCGGGGUACACGAGUGGCGAACGGGUGAGUAACACGUGGGUGAUCUACCCUGCACUUCGGGAUAAGCCUGGGAAACUGGGUCUAAUACCGGAUAGGACCACUGCCUGCAUGGGUGGUGGUGGAAAGCUUUUGCGGUGUGGGAUGGGCCGCGGCCUAUCAGCUUGUUGGUGGGGUGAUGGCCUACCAAGGCGACGACGGGUAGCCGGCCUGAGAGGGUGACCGGCCACACUGGGACUGAGAUACGGCCCAGACUCCUACGGGAGGCAGCAGUGGGGAAUAUUGCACAAUGGGCGCAAGCCUGAUGCAGCGACGCCGCGUGAGGGAUGACGGCCUUCGGGUUGUAAACCUCUUUCAGCACCGACGAAGCGCAAGUGGCGGUAGGUGCAGAAGAAGGACCGGCCAACUACGUGCCAGCCGCCGCGGUAA